UCAGGAGAUGGUGCCAAUGCUUAUCUUCCACCUCCAGGGCCAGCCCUGACCCUCCAUGGCUCCGCUAACCGUUUCUUCAAGGCCAAGGCUUCUCCCAGGACCCGCCUGUCUAGAUCGCUUUCUCCGAGGGCAUCCUCGGCCCAACUCCCCUCCGGGACCGCGAAGGUUCGGGUCCGAAUCCUUCAUGCUCAGGCCUCCCCUGCUUAGGAGGACCAACGUUUCAAAGUCUCAGAUUACCAGGUGAGCACAAGGGGUGAUGCUAGGAAAAUUUAAAAGCUCCCCACACUUUGUCCUUCGGAGGAGAGAGAAACAUGUGGCGGGGAGCCCACGUCAAAAACGUUUUCUUCAGAGUCUGUGGCAAAAA